AUACGAAAGGUGCAAGCGUUGUUCGGAUUUACUAGGCGUAAAGAGAGUGUAGGUUGUUUAUUAAGUCGGACGUGAAAUCCUGGGGCUCAACCUCGGAACUGCAUUCGAUACUGAUAGGCUAGAGUUUGGGAGGGGUAAGCGGAAUUCCGUGUGUAGCAGUGAAAUGCGUAGAUAUACGGAGGAACACCUGAGGCGAAGGCGGCUUACUGGACCAAUACUGACACUGAGACUCGAAAGCGUGGGUAGCAAACAGGAUUAGAUACCCGUGUAGUCC
rnacentral:rRNA from 1 species